ACCGAAGUAAUUUUUUGUAUCGAGUCGAUAAAAUUAGACCGGUCUCGAUUGGAGAUAGGAGAAUAAUUUUACACAUUUCUUUUCUAUUUUUCUGGAUAAACCUGGUAUAAUUCGUGAUAUACCAGUGAGCUUGUCACCAUUCAUAGAAUCAUUUUGAUAUAUACUUUAUUACAAUACAACCUAAAUUCGAGGAAUUCGAGAGGGAGAAACUCGUCGUUAAGUAUCAUUGUUGACAUGGGUUACGCGCUCUCGUCUUGAGUGAGUUGUGUCAUUUUUCAACGUUAAUACAACCGUCUAUUUCCGAAAAAAUAAGUAAUUAUUUCAUCAACAUGACGGAGGUGGAAGAAAACGCAACUAUAGAACCGGUUAAGGAGGAGCCCGCCGCUCCAAAUACCUACACGAUCCGUCCAAAUUUCCUGAAGAAAUUUCGCUCUGCUGCAGUCAAGGCAGUGAUCCACACCGUACUCAACGAGGAGCUAACGGACAAGCAGUACAGUGCAGAGGAGACGACUGCCUGGUGCAAGCAAAUCAGUGAGAAGAUUAAGGAAAGGUUAAAAGAACUCGAAUUAGACCGCUACAAGUUCAUCAUCCAAGUCGUGAUAGGAGAACAGAGAGGUGAAGGAGUCAAGAUGGGCUGUAGAUGUUUCUGGGACUCCGAUACUGACAACUAUGCACAGGAUAUUUACAUGAGUGACUCUCUGUUUUGUGUAGCGGCUGCAUUUGGAGUCUUCUACUACUAGGCCAAUAUGUGCAAGAUCACAGCGAAAAGCUAGACUAGGUCUAGUCCAGGUCCUCCUUUGUCCUUCUAGUUCCAAGCCUCCAAUCUGGAUCCAAGACCAGCGCAGAAGGCUAACUUCCUGUGUUCGGUUUCUGUUGUGUGCUCCUAGCAGUCGACUAUGGAUUUUGACCGGAUUGGAAAUCUAUUUUGUUUUAAAAAGAAGAGCAAGAGAAAAGUGAUGUUAUAUUAUGGAGAAGAUUGUUAAUAAAAUAACAAGGAGUUCAUAUUUCUCUUAACGUAAACAGAGUGACAUACAUGU